rnacentral:tRNA from 1 species
GCAGAUGUGGCGGAACAGGUAGACGCAAGGGACUUAAAAUCCCUUGGGCAUGCGCCCGUGCCGGUUCGAUUCCGGCCAUCUGCACCA